rnacentral:sRNA from 1 species
AUUCUGCCCAUGCGGGGAAGGAUGAGAAGCUUCGACUAAGGUUCGACUCGAGCGCCAGCGAGAGAGCGUUGCCGC